AUUGCUCGACAGGACCGAGUUAGCUCAUGCUAAGGAGCUAAUGCUAUAUGCUACUCUGCGUUAGCAAAGGUAGCUUCUAAACCCCCAGUGCUGUACGGUGGCGGUUGGAACCUGUGGCCGUGUUGUUAGCAGUCUAUGGCUCACAGUCAAGAUGAGUGACGACAUGAGGUUUCCCCAAACAGCAGACGACUGAAAGAUGAAAAAGAAGAUGCCGAAGUAUUGGUUGAUGACGUCAGAGCCCUUUUUGCCCUCCUUGGCCGCCUGGUUGUUACCGGAGAUGGUCAGGAUAGAAGUUUCCAAUGGAGUAGGUGACGUAGCAGGCCAUGCCAGCAACGAUGGUCCAUUUACAGCCCAGAUUUUUGAUCAGGAGGGGAGGCAGGAACAUGGAGGAUACGAUAAUGGAGGCGUAUAUGACGCUUAAAGACGCCACGCCCAUCCCCUGCUCUGCAUUCAGACUGCUCUGCAGCACAAGGACAAGACUGCAUUAGAGGGCAUCAUGCAAGAGCAGCAGCUUGUAGCCUCUUCAAUUCAAGAUUGGAAGACAAAUGGCGUCAAUAUGAAACACACUCAUUAAAACUGAUUAAUAACGCA